GCCAGGUGUGGUGGCGCAUGCCUGUAAUCCCAGCAGCUCGAGGGCUGAGACAGGAGGACCACGAGUUCAAAGCCAGCCUCAGCAACUUAGCAAGGCACUAAGCAACUCAGUGAGACCCUGUCUCUA
rnacentral:sRNA from 1 species